UUUUUAGCUUAGAUUUGUCUGUAAUCAGGAUUAACCCGAGUAGAUAUUGUGUAUAUAAAGAUCCAUUAAAAUCAUUGAAAUUGUUAUAAAUUAAUAUCUUAACAAUUUUCUUUUUUUUCAGGAAUGAAUAAAUAUUCACUAUCUCAAAUCUUAAUGAACAAGUGAAGAUUUUUUUAUUUAAAACAAUUAAAUGCGAUUUAUCUACGUUUCGAAAAGAUUUAUGUAAAUACUCGACACAUACGGGUUUUUUGGUUCGGUUCGGGUUUUUUUCGCGAGUGAGUGUUAACGGGUUUUCGCGUGUGUGACUGACUUUAUUUUCGAUUUUCGUUUGAAAGGACAACAUAGAACCAAACUAAAAUUAAAUAUAAUUUACACGGAUUUUCGCGUUAUGCGAUUUUUUAAAGUGUAUUUAAGCGUUCGAGUCGUAUCGGGAUUUACGCGUUUGUGAUUUCUUUGAUGAUUUUCGUAGUAGAAUAACAGAUUAUAAAAAAAUAAUAUCAUAUCCCAUUAUGUCCUCAAAUAAGGCACUAAGAACGAUUUUCAGAAUUACAUUGUUGCUCUUUGUUACGAUAAGUUAAAAAAUGUAAUAAGGUCUCUAAGACAAAUUUCUGUUGCCUCGCCGGAAUUGUGGAAUAAGGAAUGACAAUAAAUAUGAUGUUUACAUUGUAUAAGUGCAUGGUGAUUUAAACUACACAUAUUUAUUCUAUUUGAAAAACCUCCAGCGUGAUCGAAAUUAAAAAGGAUUAAGUUAGCUGCAUGUGUAAGUUUCCUCGACGAUCAUUGUGUUUAAUUGGCGAGGACAAUUGUGACUAAUAUUAAUAACGCUUUUAUGCAUCUUCCUGGAAGCAAUGCUGAUAUUGAGUGGACGAUUUUCCAUCCUGGUUUCUUUCUGGUUCCUGUAAGCUGCUUGGAAACGCGUCAGAGAUGUGAGAAACCCCUGGGUUCGAGGGGGCAUCAAAUAUCAAAAGGUAAAUUUAAAUUUAAUGACCGUCCAUAUCCAGCAUAGCCACUGCCACUGUGUCCAACAUGGCCAAUGUGGCCGUCAUCAUGACCACCCGAGUGCGAAUGACUUGAAGUAUAAAUUGGUUUUGUUACAAU